GAUGAACGCUGGCGGCGUGCCUAAUACAUGCAAGUCGAGCGAACAGACGAGGAGCUUGCUCCUCUGACGUUAGCGGCGGACGGGUGAGUAACACGUGGAUAACCUACCUAUAAGACUGGGAUAACUUCGGGAAACCGGAGCUAAUACCGGAUAAUAUAUUGAACCGCAUGGUUCAAUAGUGAAAGACGGUUUUGCUGUCACUUAUAGAUGGAUCCGCGCCGCAUUAGCUAGUUGGCAAGGUAACGGCUUACCAAGGCAACGAUGCGUAGCCGACCUGGGAGGUGGAUCGGCCACAUGGGAACGGAAACACGGUCCGAACCCUAACGGGGGGAAGCAGUGGGAAAUCUUCCGAAAGGGGGGAAAGCUUGACGGGGCAACGCCGCGGGGGUAAGAAAGUUUUUCGGUUCGUAAACCUCUUUUUUUGGGAAAAAAAAAAUGUGUAAAUAACAAAGCCCGUCUGGCGGGAACCAAAUAAGAAAGCCCCGGCAACCUACGG
rnacentral:rRNA from 1 species